rnacentral:rRNA from 1 species
ACGAAGGGUGCAAGCGUUACUCGGAAUUACUGGGCGUAAAGCGUGCGUAGGUGGUUCGUUAAGUCUGAUGUGAAAGCCCUGGGCUCAACCUGGGAAUUGCAUUGGAUACUGGCGGGCUAGAGUGCGGUAGAGGAUGGCGGAAUUCCCGGUGUAGCAGUGAAAUACGUAGAUAUCAGGUGGAACACCGGAGGCGAAGGCGGGUAGCUGGCCCAACACUGACACUCAGACCCGAAAGCGUGGGGAUCAAACAGGA